UGAGGAGGCUUCCAGGCCUCGAGUGUGAUGUGAGAAGGCUUUCAGGACUUAUGUUGAUAUGAUCAGGCUUUUAGGCCUUAUUUUAUAUGCCAUGAGCUGGCUUGAUAUUGCACUUGGACUGUAGGAGCCCCUCCGGAGUCUGCACCCCCACAGUGAGCACAGGUACCCAUAUAUAGUGGAUAAAUUUUGACAGUGGUAACAAUGGCACUACAUGAUGCGUUUGGUCAGGUAACAAUGACUUACCAGGAAUGACAUCGUGCGGUCAAGUAACAAUGGCUGACCAGGAAUAAUAUCGUGUGGUCAGGUAACAAUGACUGACCAGGAACAAAAUCGUGCCCGAUGGGCUGGUACUAUUCUAUGUGAUUGCCCGAGAGGCAGCUUCCUACUUGUUAAUUUCUGCCAAAUUACCCAUUGUACUUAUUGUAAAAGAUAAUUCAGUUGAUAUUUCACUGCUUCACUAUUUUCUAAAAGGGGAUUUCACUGCUUCUAUACAUCAUGUUGGUUGCUUUAUGUAAUUUCUUACUGUUCAAUUAGUAUUUUCCUUUAUUACUCACUAAGUUGGAGUACUCACUUUACUCCCUGCACCUCGUGUGCAGAUAUAGGUAUUUGUUCAUUUGGUAGCGGGUAUUGAUUGUUAGAAGCAGAGUAGUAGGAGUUUAGCAAGGUGACUGCCAGCGCUCGAAGCAGCGUUUCUUUCUACGUUAUUCAUUUUAGACUUAGUAAAUAAAAUUACACUCUUAUAGACGCACGUGACUUAUAACACCCCAGUUUGGGCUUUGUUUGGGUUGUACUUCCGUUAAAUAAUGUUAUUAAAUCAUCUUAAAAUUGUUUAAUUCAUGUUUAUCUACUUUUGAAGAAGGCAAUUAGGAUUGGUUGGUUGGCCUUGUCUUCACGAGAGGGCCCAUCACAACCGGAGCGGGGUUUGGGUCGUGACACUUAAAAU
rnacentral:lncRNA from 1 species